GUGGAUGCCAAUGUUACUGUAAGUUUGUCACUUUAAUGUGAUCCUUCAUAUUCUGUUCUGUAAAGCUCUCUGCAUGCUUGGCCAUAAGCAUUUCAAUGUGUCAUCCGCUGAUGUGUUAACCACACCAGCAAUGCCUAUUGGCAUAUGCACAAGAUGGGAGUAGAAUAUGAGGAUACCCAAGAAAACCACAAGGUUGGGGUUCACCCAUUUUUAGUCAUAGCCAUCUCCUUCCGGGUCGGGUAAAAAAUUUACAUAAAAAUCAUAAUGUUGUUAAAUUCAUUGUUGCUAAUUAUAAAAUCGCAACUGCCUGGUUCUUUAGAUAACCAGGAGCAUGAUAUUAUAUGAAUAGUAUAAUCUUUGUGAUUUAAGAAACAUUUUAAUGUUCAAGCACUGUUCAUUCUUUUUGCAGAUUGAGCAUUA
rnacentral:misc_RNA from 1 species